UACGUAGGUGGCAAGCGAUACUCGGAAUCACUAGGCGUAAAGCGCAGGUAGGAGGUUUGGUAAGUCUGUUGUGAAAGCUCCCGGCUUAACUGGGAGAGGUCAACGGAAACUACUAGGCUAGAGUGCGGUAGAGGUAGCUGGAAUUCCCGGUGUAGCGGUGAAAUGCGUAGAUAUCGGGAGGAAUACCUAUGGCGAAAGCAGGCUACUGGACCGUCACUGACUCUGAUCUGCGAAAGCUAGGGGAGCAAACAGG
rnacentral:rRNA from 1 species